CCUACGGGAGGCAGCAGUGGGGAAUAUUGCACAAUGGGGGAAAGCCUGAUGCAGCGACGCCGCGUGAGUGAAGAAGUAUCUCGGUACGUAAAGCUCUAUCAGCAGGGAAGAUAAUGACGGGACCUGAACAAGAAGCCCCGGCUAACUACGUGCCAGCAGCCGCGGGAAUACGUAGGGGGCAAGCGUUAUCCGGAUUUACUGGGUGUAAAGGGAGCGUAGACGGCAGAACAAGUCUGGAGGGAAAUACCGGGGCUUAACCCCGGAACUGCUUUGGAAACUGGGCGGCUGGAGUGCAGGAGGGGUAAGCGGAAUUCCGAGUGUAGCGGUGAAAUGCGUAGAUAUUAGGAGGAACACCGGUGGCGAAGGCGGCUUACUGGACUGUAACUGACGUUGAGGCUCGAAAGCGUGGGGAGCAAACAGGAUUAGAUACCCCUGUAGUC
rnacentral:rRNA from 1 species